CGGGGUUAGGCCGAAUUUAGCUGCAUUAGGUCGAUUUAGAAAUGAAUGCUUCCACACGACCAACCCCAUUCCGUCAAUCUAAAGGGCUCUUAAAAUUAACUUCUGUACUCUUCCUCAGCAAGGGGAAUAGUGCUAAAAUCGAUUUUUCUGGGUCAAAUUUGGGGUAGUGUGGAUGCAAAUCGAUGGUAUUGGCCUCCGGCAGCUAUCACAGAGUGCUCCAUUGUGAUCGCUUUGGACAGCACUCUGAAUUCCGAUGCACUAGUCAGGUACACUGGAAAAGCCCUGGGAACUUUUGAAUUUCAUUUCCUGUUCAGGAGAGACUGAAGGAUGUGUGGG